GACGAACGCUGGCGGCGUGCUUAACACAUGCAAGUCGAACGCUGAGGCUCAGCUUUUGUUGGGUGGAUGAGUGGCGAACGGGUGAGUAACACGUGAGUAACCUGCCCCCUUCUUUGGGAUAACGCCCGGAAACGGGUGCUAAUACUGGAUAUUCACUGGUCUUCGCAUGGGGGUUGGUGGAAAGGGUUUUUCUGGUGGGAGAUGGGCUCGCGGCCUAUCAGCUUGUUGGUGGGGUGAUGGCCUACCAAGGCUUUGACGGGUAGCCGGCCUGAGAGGGUGACCGGUCACAUUGGGACUGAGAUACGGCCCAGACUCCUACGGGAGGCAGCAGUGGGGAAUAUUGCACAAUGGGCGCAAGCCUGAUGCAGCGACGCCGCGUGAGGGAUGGAGGCCUUCGGGUUGUGAACCUCUUUCGCUCAUGGUCAAGCCGCAACAAUGGUUGUGGUGAGGGUAGUGGGUAAAGAAGCGCCGGCUAACUACGUG
rnacentral:rRNA from 1 species